AAAAAAAAAGUUUGCUUAGCAUUUUAAGCAGCUUAAUAUGGAAAGUUAAGUAAACUGUAAUUCAAUCUUCUGAGGUACGUCCGGAACAUAGUGUUGAAGAUCCCUACUGAUUUUUGUUCAGAUAUGUCAAAUGGUUCAAAAUAUUUUCCAACUCAUGACAAACUUAAAAAUGGCAGCCACAUGCUUCCACCGAUCCUGGCACAAUUUACAUCCAUGGAUUCGACAUGACCCAAAGAAUCGAAAGACACAAAGAUCAUGAUUUUCUAACUAACUGCUCAAAAGUUAUAAGCAAAAAUGUGAAUUUUUGGUAUCUCAUGACCCAUAGGAGGCACUGUUUCCAACUUUGGGAUAUUUUCUCAGUUCAUAGAAUUGAUUAAGUUUACCAAGUUUUGUGGAGAUCGAUCAAAGUAUGGCCGAGAUACAGCCUCUCAAACAAUUUACAUUCAGCACUGUUAACUUCAGAGCAUCAUAACUUUUUUUUUGACCAGUAGGUCGAAAAAUUCUGUUCAGUCAUUUCCGUGCGGCUCGGUCCAAAGAUCGUCUGAGCAAAUUUUGAGAAGAAUUGGACCACAUUUGAAGGAGGAGUAGCGAAAAAACGGAAUACUGUACUUUUCGUAAUGGAUGUUACUGUAAUGGCUGGAAUCUUAAUGUAAACUAUUCAAUGUGAUCAGCGUGAAGAGAGGAAUCAGGUGUACUAAGUUUUAUCCGGAUAGAAGAAGGUGUUCAAAAGUUAUAAGCAGAAAAAUGUGCAUUUUUGGUAUCUCAACACCCAUAGGUGGCGCUGUUCCCAACUUUGGCAUGGACCCUCAGAUCAUGGUGUAGAUGAAGUGUACCAAGUUUGGUUUCGAUUGAUCAAAGUUUGGCCGAGAUACAGCCUCUGAACCGAUAUCAACCUAUCUAAGUUCACAGCAUGAUAACUUUUUUUUUCACUAGUGUUCAAAAAAUUCUGUUCAGUCAUUUCUGUGCGGCUCAGUCCAAAGAACAUAUGAGCCAAAUUUGAGAAGAAUUGGACCAAUUUUGAAGGAGGAGUAGUGUUUAGACUGAAUACUGUACUUUUCAAAAUGGCUGCUACUGUAAUGGGCGGAGCCUUAAUGUAAGGUAUGGAAUGGAAUCUCCAUGAAGAGCAUGUUCAGGUGUACUAAGUUAAAUUUUCAUAGAAUUAGGGGUUCAAAAGUUAUUAACGUUUGAAUGUUGAAAUUUUGGACUGCUGGUGGCGCUAUAGAGUUGUGCCUAGAGACCCCAAAGUUGGUCAGAUCACUAAUAAUGGCCAUCUCUACAAGUGUGCCAAAUUUCAUCAUUUUCCCAUGUUCCCUUCAUAGGGCUGCCAUAGACCCCCAUUGGCCAAGAAGAAGAAGAAGAAGAAGAA
ensembl:lncRNA